rnacentral:rRNA from 1 species
CACCUUUGACAUGUACGGAAUCCUUUAGAGAUAGAGGAGUGCUCGAAAGAGAGCCGUAACACAGGUGCUGCAUGGCUGUCGUCAGCUCGUGUCGUGAGAUGUUGGGUUAAGUCCCGCAACGAGCGCAACCCUUGCCAUUAGUUGCUACGAAAGGGCACUCUAAUGGGACUGCCGGUGACAAACCGGAGGAAGGUGGGGAUGACGUCAAGUCCUCAUGGCCCUUAUAGGUGGGGCUACACACGUCAUACAAUGGCUGGUACAGAGGGUUGCCAACCCGCGAGGGGGAGCUAAUCCCAUAAAGCCAGUCGUAGUCCGGAUCGCAGUCUGCAACUCGACUGCGUGAAGUCGGAAUCGCUAGUAAUCGCGGAUCAGAAUGUCGCGGUGAAUACGUUCCCGGGUCUU